rnacentral:rRNA from 1 species
GCAGCCGCGGUAAUUCCAGCUCCAAUAGCGUAUACUAAAGUUGUUGCGGUUAAAAAGCUCGUAGUUGGAUCUUGGAAUGUGUUCAAGCGGGUCAGCUUCUGGCUGUGCGCUGCUUGACGUGUUCUUCUAUUUGGUUUUGGUGCGGUGCGCUUAACUGCGUGUCGCUCCCGGCCGAAACGUUUACCUUGAAAAAAUUAGAGUGUUCAAAGCAGACCUGUUUGAGUCUGAAUAUUCGUGCAUGGAAUAAUGAAAUAUGAAUUCGGUUCUAUUUUGUUGGUUUUCGGAACUCGAGUUAAUGAUCAAGAGGGACAGACGGGGGCAUUCGUACUCUGCCGUUAGAGGUGAAAUUCUUGGAUCGGCGGAAGACGCGCAACUGCGAAAGCAUUUGCCAAGAAUGUUUUCUUUAAUCAAGAACGAUAGUCGGAGGUUCGAAGACGAUCAGAUACCGUCCUAGUUUCGACUGUAAACUAUGCCAGCUAACGAUCAGACAGAGUUCUCUACGACUUGUCUGGCAGUUUCCGGGAAACCAAAGCGUUUGGGUUCCGGGGGAAGUAUGGUUGCAAAGCUGAAACUUAAAGGAAUUGACGGAAGGGCACCACCAGGAGUGGAGCCUGCGGCUUAAUUUGACUCAACACGGGGAAACUCACCCGGCCCGGACACAGUGAGGAUUGACAGAUUGAGAGUUCUUUCUUGAUUCUGUGGGUGGUGGUGCAUGGCCGUUCUUAGUUGGUGGAGCGAUUUGUCUGGUUAAUUCCGAUAACGAACGAGACUCUGGCAUGUUAAAUAGUCGCGGAAGUGCGUAUGCACUUGCCGAAUUGACUUCUUAGAGGGACUAGUGAUUUUAAUUCACACGAGAUUGAGCAAUAACAGGUCUGUGAUG